rnacentral:rRNA from 1 species
UGGUGAGGUAACGGCUCACCAAGGCGACGAUGCGUAGCCGACCUGAGAGGGUGAUCGGCCACAUUGGAACUGAGACACGGUCCAGACUCCUACGGGAGGCAGCAGUGGGGAAUAUUGCACAAUGGGCGAAAGCCUGAUGCAGCAACGCCGCGUGAGUGAUGAAGGCUUUCGAGUCGUAAAGCUCUUUGAUCAGGGAUGAUAAUGACAGUACCUGAAAAACAAGCCACGGCUAACUACGUGCCAGCAGCCGCGGUAAUACGUAGGUGGCGAGCGUUGUCCGGAAUUACUGGGCGUAAAGGAUGCGUAGGUGGAUAUUUAAGUGGGAUGUGAAAUCCCCGGGCUCAACCCGGGAACUGCAUUCCAAACUGGAUAUCUAGAGUGCAGGAGAGGAAAGCGGAAUUCCUAGUGUAGCGGUGAAAUGCGUAGAUAUUAGGAGGAACACCAGUGGCGAAGGCGGCUUUCUGGACUGUAACUGACACUGAGGCAUGAAAGCGUGGGUAGCAAACAGGAUUAGAU